rnacentral:rRNA from 1 species
CAAGUCGAACGAGGUCUUUUUUUUGUUUACAAGAAAAAGAUUGCAGUGGCGGACGGGUGAGGAACACGUAAGAACUUACCUUUUGGCGGGGGAUAACAUCGGGAAACUGUUGCUAAUACCCCAUAAUGCUGAGGAGCGAAAGGGAAACCACCAAAAGAGAGGCUUGCGUCUGAUUAGCUAGUUGGCGGAGGUAAAUGCUCCCCAAGGCGACGAUCAGUAGCUGGUCUGAGAGGAUGAUCAGCCACACUGGGACUGAGACACGGCCCAGACUCCUACGGGAGGCAGCAGUGGGGAAUUUUCCACAAUGGGCGAAAGCCUGAUGGAGCAAUACCGCGUGAGGGAAGACGGAUCGUGGUCUGUAAACCUCUUUUCUUAACGAAGAAAUUUUGACGGUAGUUAAGGAAUAAGCACCGGCUAACUCCGUGCCAGCAGCCGCGGUAAUACGGGGGGUGCAAGCGUUGUCCGGAAUGAUUGGGCGUAAAGCAUCUGUAGGUGGUUCUUAAAGUCGACUGUUAAAGCCCAGGGCUUAACUUUGGAUAAGCGGUCGAGUACUUAAGGACUUGAGUUCGGUAGGGGUAGAGGGAAUUCCUAGUGGAGCGGUGAAAUGCACAGAGAUUAGGAAGAACACCGAGGGCGAAAGCACUCUACUGGGCCGUAACUGACACUGAGAGAUGAAAGUUGGGGGAGCGAAAAGGAUUAGAUACCCUUGUAGUCCCAACUGUAAACGAUGGAUACUAAGUGCUGGCAAAACCAGUGCUGUAGCUAACGCGUUAAGUAUCCCGCCUGGGGAGUAUGCUCGCAAGAGUGAAACUCAAAGGAAUUGACGG